GGUCGCAAGAUUAAAACUCAAAGGAAUUGACGGGGGCCUGCACAAGCGGUGGAGCAUGUGGUUUAAUUCGAAGCAACGCGCAGAACCUUACCAGCGUUUGACAUCCUGAUCGCGGAUAGUGGAGACACUUUCCUUCAGUUCGGCUGGAUCAGUGACAGGUGCUGCGUGGCUGUCGUCAGCUCGUGUCGUGAGAUGUUGGGUUAAGUCCCGCAACGAGCGCAACCCUCGUCCUUAGUUGCGACCAUUCAGUUGAGCACUCUAAGGAAACCGCCGGUGAUAAGCCGGAGGAAGGUGGGGAUGACGUCAAGUCCUCAUGGCCCUUACGCGCUGGGCUACACACGUGCUACAAUGGCGACUACAGUGGGCAGCCACUCCGCGAGGAGGAGCUAAUCUCCAAAAGUCGUCUCAGUUCGGAUUGUUCUCUGCAACUCGAGAGCAUGAAGGCGGAAUCGCUAGUAAUCGCGGAUCAGCAUGCCGCGGUGAAUACGUUCCCAGGCCUUGUACACACCGCCCGUCACACCAUGGGAGUUGGUUUCACCCGAAGGCAGUGCGCUAACCGCAAGGAGGCAGCUGACCACGGUGGGAUCAGCGACUGGGGUG
rnacentral:rRNA from 1 species